AGAGUUUGAUUCUGGCUCAGGAUGAACGCUAGCUACAGGCUUAACACAUGCAAGUCGAGGGGAAACGACAUCGAAAGCUUGCUUUUGAUGGGCGUCGACCGGCGCACGGGUGAGUAACGCGUAUCCAACCUGCCCACCACUUGGGGAUAACCUUGCGAAAGUAAGACUAAUACCCAAUGACGUCUCUAGAAGACAUCUGAAAGAGAUUAAAGAUUUAUCGGUGAUGGAUGGGGAUGCGUCUGAUUAGCUUGUUGGCGGGUAACGGCCACAAGGCGACGAUCAGUAGGGGUUCUGAGAGGAACGGUCCCCCANAUUGGAACUGAGACACGGUCCAAACUCCGUACGGGAGGCA
rnacentral:rRNA from 1 species